CCUACGGGAGGCAGCAGUGGGGAAUAUUGCACAAUGGGCGAAAGCCUGAUGCAGCCAUGCCGCGUGUGUGAAGAAGGCCUUCGGGUUGUAAAGCACUUUCAGCGAGGAGGAAAGGUUAGUGGUUAAUAGCCACUASCUGUGACGUUACUCGCAGAAGAAGCACCGGCUAACUUCGUGCCAKCAGCCGCGGUAAUACGAGGGGUGCAAGCGUUAAUCGGAAUUACUGGGCGUAAAGCGUGCGUAGGUGGUUUGUUAAGCAAGAUGUGAAAGCCCUGGGCUCAACCUGGGAACUGCAUUUUGAACUGGCAAGCUAGAGUUUUGUAGAGGGUAGUGGAAUUUCCAGUGUAGCGGUGAAAUGCGUAGAGAUUGGAAGGAACAUCASUGGCGAAGGCGGCUACCUGGACAAAGACUGACACUGAGGCACGAAAGCGUGGGGAGCAAACAGGAUUAGAUACCCUGGUAGUCCACGCCGUAAACGAUGUCAACUAGCCGUCUGUAGACUUGAUCUGUGGGUGGCGUAGCUAACGCGCUAASUUGACCGCCUGGGGAGUACGGCCGCAAGGUUAAAACUCAAAGGAAUUGACGGGG
rnacentral:rRNA from 1 species